UACCGGAUAAAUCUAUCACUUCUUUCCCGUCCGUGACCGUUUUAUUUAUUGAAAGCUCCGACCGUUCAAACUCUCGAAGUUCUUCCCCUUUCGGAUCCAAGGAAAAGCCUACAGUCAAAAGGACAGUUUCCGGCACUUUGAUUGGAGAAAAUGCAAAACAUACGUCGUAAACACAAACUUUUCAACUCGAAGAAGGCUCCAUUCGAGGCUCCAUCGUCAAGAAUGAAACUGUUGGCGUUUGCUAUAAGAGGAUUUCGGCUCAAAUGGCACUUUGAGAUAUUCCAAACCGUGCGUCGCCAACAGAUUGGCAGCACAAUCGAAGUGCAAAUCGAUUCAGCGGUGAACUUCUCCCGCGAAUGAAACACCUAGUGGCGACUCCAAGUAUACGGGACCGGCCGCUGCCUUUUGAUGCCCAUGAACAACAGAGUGCUUUUCCCAGACGUGUCCUUGGUCAAUGAAAACCGUCGCUUCAUCGGAACGAUACAAUAAUUGUGGGUGAUUUUAUGACAGCAGGCACAGCCGCAGUGCAAAUAAAACCUACGCCGCAGACGGAACUCCCAGCAGCGACGCCAUGCCAAAUCGAGCGUCUCCAACAGAUUGGCAGCACAAUCGAAGUGCAAAUCGAUUCAGCGGCGAACUUCUCCCGCUAGCGAUACACCUAGUGACGACUGCAAUCGUACAAGACCGGCCGCUGCCUUUUGGUGCCCAUGAACAACAGAGUGCUUUUCCCAGACGUGCCCUUGAUCAAUGAAACCCGUCACUUCGUCGAAAAGAUACAAUAAUUGUGGGUGACUUCAUGACAGCAGGCACAGACGCAGCGCAAAUAAACCCUACGCCGAAUAUGUACAUCCCACAGACGGAACUCCCAGCAACGACGCCAGGCUUGCAGAAUCGCCCGCUGCUCUUCGAUGAGUUCCGGCAACGGAAAGAUGAUUCGUGUUUACGUUCCUGAAUGCCGUAUUCCCCGCCAGUGAACCCUGUCGCUUUGAUGAACCAAUUCUUCCAUCUCUCCUAGAAGGAUUCCGUUUUUAGAAGGAUAUAACGGUCUUGUUUUUCCCAAAAGGAACGGUUGGACCAUAGCCGUUUAGAACGGUGACGUCCAAGCUCCUCUCGGCGGCGCGGCGUCACACGAUGCCAAAUCCCGGUGAUGCCUACGGGUAUUGCCGCGCCGACCUCCCGAGGGGGCCCUUCACUGGUUUACACCAGUUAGGGCAUUGGGCGUCGGCAAUCGCAACAGGGCCGCAGGUAAGCUUUCGUUUAAUCGAUGUCUUUUUUUGUAUAUUUUUAGGACCAAAAAUUUGCAAGCAAGCGUAUAUCUGGAAUAAUGGAUCCAGUGGAGAUUCCUUCUGCAAUCCCGUGGAGAUUAUAUCUGGAAUCCAGUGAAGAUUCUUCUGAACUCCAGUGGGAAUUCCUUCUCAACUCCAGUGAGGAUUAAUUCUGUGAUUCAAUGGAAAUUCCUUCUGAAAUCUAGUAGGGAUUCCUCAUGAAUUCAGUUUUGAUUCCUUCUGGAAUCCACUAAGGAAUCCUUUUGAAUUCUAGUGGGGGUUACUUCUAGAUCCAGUAGGGAUUCCAUCUGGAGUCUAGUGGUAAUUUCUUCUGUAGUUUAGUGAGCAAUCCUUCUGGAGUCCAGUGGGAUUUUUUUUUCGAACAACCACGUGAAAUUGUUUUCUUGAAAUCAGUGGAGAUUCUUUAUGGAUCCAUUGAAGGCUCCUCAUAAAUCCAGUGAGGAUUCCUUAUCCAUUUAUUUUUUUUCCUGGAAUCAAGUGUGGAUUCCUCAUGAACCCAGUUAGGUUUCGUUUUGGUAUUCAGUAGCGAUUACUAAUUAAAUCCAGUUAGGAUUUCUCGCUUAAUUUUUCAAAGGGACCUAAGUAACAUUUUUUCAUUAAUUAAUUUGAAUAUUGCAAUCAACAGACCAAUAUGGAAGCUAUCGAUUGCAGUACUCAAAUUAAUUCAUGAAAAAAUCUUAUGGAUUCAAUGCAGAUUACUUAUGAAUCCUGUUAAGAUUUCCCCUGGAAACCAGUGAAGAUUGCUUUUGAUAUCCAGUCGGAAUUCCUCACGAAUCCAGUCGAGAUUUAAUAUGAAUCCAACGGAGUUUCCUCAUAAAUCUAUAGAAGAGUUCCAUCUGAACUUUAGUAGGAAUUCCUUCUUGAACCCAGUGGGAAUUCCUUAUGAUUUCUCAAGGAAUCACCUCAGGACUCCCGACUCCCCUUUUAGGAUUUUCUGAAAUUUCUCUAAUAAUUCUUUCGGAAUUCCCAAAAGAAUCAUCUAAAGAUUCCCUAAGAAAUCCUACCAGGAUUCCUAAAACAAUCCUUUCAGGCUUCCUUAAGAAAUUCGUCCAGAACUUUCGAAGGAAUACAGAAAUUCCAAGGAAACGCUGUUCGGAAAGUAUUCCUUCAGGGUCAUCGAAUAAUCCAGCGGUUUGCUGCCACUCGUCGAUCUCAGAGAGUCUUCAUAAAUUUGACCUAGAGUUCAUAAAGCGGACGCCUAAUUGUAAUUGACUUGUAUUAUUAUUUACUAAAAUUAAAUAAAAAUAAAGGAAUAGGUUAAAA